rnacentral:rRNA from 1 species
UUGCCCUUACGGCUCAGUAACACGUGGAUAACAUGCCCUAAGGUGGGGGGAUAAUCUCGGGAAACUGAGGAUAAUACCCCAUAGGUCUGAUAUGCUGGAAUGCUUUCAGGCCGAAAACUCCGGUGCCUUAGGAUUGGUCUGCGGUCUAUCAGGCUGUAGUGGGUGUAACGGACCCACUAGCCCGUGACGGAUAUGGGCCUUGAGAGAGGGAGCCCAGAGAUGGACUCUGAGACAUGAGUCCAGGCCCUACGGGGCGCAGCAGUCGCGAAAACUUCGCAAUGGGGGCAACCCCGACGAGGGAAUUCCAAGUGCCAGCACUUUGUGUUGGCUGUUCUCCUGUCUAAAAAACAGGAGGAGUAAGGGGCGGGUAAGACGGGUGCCAGCCGCCGCGGUAAUACCCGCGCCCCUAGUGGUGGUCGAUAUUAUUGAGCCUAAAACGUCCGUAGCCGGUCUUCUAAAUCCUUGGGUAAAUCGGGCAGCUUAACUGUCCGAAGUCCGGGGAGACUGGAAGACUUGGGACCGGGAGAGGUCAGAGGUACUUCUGGGGUAGGGGUAAAAUCCUGUAAUCCUGGAAGGACCACCGGUGGCGAAGGCGUCUGACUAGAACGGAUCCGACGGUGAGGGACGAAGCCCUGGGGCGCAAACGGGAUUAGAUACCCCGGUAGUCCAGGGUGUAAACGCUGCGGGCUUGGUGUUGGGGGUCCUUAGUGGGCGCCCAGUGCCGGAGAGAAGUUGUUAAGCCUGCUGCUUGGGGAGUAUGUCCGCAAGGAUGAAACUUAAAGGAAUUGGCGGGGGAGCAC